AUGGCGCAGUCGCUGGCGAUGACGGCGAUAUCCCGCCUCCGCGGUGCCGCCACCCACUCCUGCGGCGGGCACUGGCGCCGCCUCUUCUCCCGCUCCCCCGCCGCCUGCGCUCCUCUCCUCGGCCACUUUCACCACCCCACUCCGACGCCGCCCAGUCCCAAAACCCUAGCUCCGUUCCCCGGCGUGCCCCCUUCCGCCUCCGCCUCCGCCUCGGCCUCGGCCCCCGCGUUCCAACCCCUCACCUCCUCCUCCCCGCGCCUCUCCCUGGACUUCAUCCCUCCCGGCUUCUCCCUAUUCGACUCCCACCUCGGCCUCCUCGUCCUCCUCAAGGAGACCGAGCCAUACUCCUACCUCAAGCACCCCCAGAUCCUCGUCUGCGACCCGGUCUCCCGCCGCACCGCGCUUCUCCCUCCGGGGAUGGUCACCUGCACGUUUAGCAAGCUCGUAAGCGUCGUGAUCCUCUCCCGCGACGCGGACGGCCCGGCCGGGUCCGGGCUCUGCUUCCGGGCAGCCGUCGUCACCCUCGAGGACACCACGCUGCGCGCCUUCGUGGCGACGUUCCGCGACGGCAAGUGCCACUGGGAGUGUCUGCUUCGGUCACAGGCGAGAUGCAACGUCGACCAGCUGGAGCGCCACUGCGUGCGCGCUAGCCGGUACCUCAUCUGGCACAUCCGCGACGAAGGUGCUGUGCUCACAUUUGACCCUGAGACUCUGGAGUUCGGCUUCGUGCUCGCGCCGCCCGCACUCGACAUGGGGGAUCACUUUGUCAAGUACCGCGUCGGGGUGAUGCCGGACGGGCGGUUCUGCUUCGGUUCGAUGUCAAUGGAUCACGAGAACCUGGAGCUCCGGGUGCUGGGGCCCGAGCCCAAGGACGGCCAGAACGUGUGGGUGCUGGAGACUGGAGAGGGAGGUGUGCUUGCUCCAGGCGUUCGAUGA
rnacentral:rRNA from 1 species